rnacentral:miRNA from 1 species
GAACGGAAGUGAGAAUGAGAGUGAAGAUGAGAAUGAGAGGAGAGGAUGAAAGGGAGGAGUAACAAAAGUGAAAUCCAUUUGAAAUUGUUUUCAAUUUUGUUACUCCUCCCUCCCAUCCUCCCCUCUCAUUAUCUCUCUCAAUCCCACCCUCACUUCCAUUCU